UUAAAACGGAAUGACAAAUUCGUAAGCAUGCAUUUCAACAAGAAAAUGUCAUAGUUUGACGUCAAAGAAACACAACAAUUUUUUCUUGUGCCAACUAGAAUACAGUUAUUCCAAGGUUUCUCAACGGUUUCAGAACAAUUUAGGAUAUAUUCUUCCGAUCCCAAAACCAAAAUCUUCAACAAAUCCGUUUCUACUUCCUGCGAAAACAUCGCAUCGAACAGUUCAUCCACACUAUCGCAUAUAAAAAUGCGUCUUUGCAAGUCCGGAAAAGAUUCCACGAAAAUAGGGAAAUCAGUAAAAAUUCUCCUAUUGUGAUAAAAAGCUACAGCGGCUGCUAUUUCAGCACUGGCUUUAUCAUCCAGGUCGGCACUGACUUUCUUAUUCAAGCCAUCAAGUGCCAGAGCUUUCAAAGCAUAACCCCUCCAGCAAUAUGGACGGCGCGAUAUGUAAUCAUUCGCAUCUUUUAAAGCAUUUUCGCAUUGCUCCAAUUUUAUGUAAACCAUUGAACGGUUAGUAAGUAACAAGGGAUCGAACGGUUUGUUGCAACCUUGAGCCAAAUUUACUGUAGAAGAAUACGCAUCUAAUGCUUCUUCGAAGAAACCUUCUUUAAAAGCCUUGUUUCCAUCCAAUUCAAAUUUAUCUAUCUUCUUAUCUAAAUCAAGGUCAAUAGCAUCAGGAGCAAGGUCACUAGCAUCAGGAGCUAGGUCACUAGCAUCAGGAGCAAGGUCACUAGGCUCAGGAGCAAGGUCACUAGCCACAGGAGCAAGGUCACAAGCAUUAGGAACAAGGUCACUGGCCUCAGGAGCAAGGUCACUAGCAUUAGGAGCAAGGUUACUAGCCUCAGGAGCAAGGUCACUAGCAUCAGGAGUAGGCUUUUCAGUCAGAGAUUCAAGGAAAAUAAACGUUGGUAUGCAAAAUCGUGGAAUCAUCAUCUGGAAUAGUUCCGGUAAAGGGAUUGGAAGUGGAAAGAGGAAAUCAUCAGAAACAUUCUUUUCAACCGUUUCAUACCCUGCUAAAGGAAGCCAGUCUAAUAUACGGUAAGCAAAGUUCAAAGUGCGCUUUGCUUCUUCCUGCUGGUGAUUUGCACUCAAAUGAACCGCACAUUCGUAAAGAAUUUUAGCUGUUUCAGGAAACCACACCGAGUCUAGACAAACAGAGUCAAGACUUACCAACAAAUCUUCGACAUUUCUACGAAGACGAUGGCCAUGCAUACAAAACUUAGACCAAAUAUAAAAGUGAGAAGGACUAUUUGGUAUACCAGAGAACGAUAUGUCUUGUUCUUCGCCAUUCCUUUCAUCUAAACUAGCAUGAUUACUGGGUGAAGGACAUUUAGAGAAUGCGUAAGAAAGCAUGCGCACAGCAUCGAUGAAACUCUCUGCUUUCGAUUUAGGAUCAAGAUUUUCCCAUACUAGUUCCUGGACCAAACGAUGGGUGGCGACACAGCCCGCUUCGACAUGCGUGAAAAGUGAAAAGUCAGUCAGCAAUUUUAGAACCUGACGGGAACCUAAUGGCGACGACACACAUUUACGAUACGCAACGUCUUCCACUUCGGGUGUUCCAACGUUGACCAAUUCUUUUUGGAUCUCUUUUUCAUCGAAAAAAGAACAAGCAUUCAUAAAUCGAACAGCAGCCUGACCAUUUGUGCUCUUCUCAAUAUACUCUAUAUUGAUACGCCAUGUCGUGUGAACGGCGAGACGAUGAGUUGACUCGUUACCAGGUGCGACAGGACGUGCCGCCUGUAGACUUAACAGUUGCAAGCGUUGAGCCUCAUAUUGCUCAAGGUAUGAAGACAAACUGCAACCCAGCAUUUGAAUAUAUGCUCCUGCUUGUUCCAAAGCAAGUGGCAGUCUCCCCAGCUUCUCACAAAGACAUUCUGCGUCACUCUCAGCAUUUUCAUUUUCAUCACGUGUUACCUCAGUUCUUGCAAAAAGAAAUUGCUUCGCUUCUUCAGACUGCAAACAUUCGAGUUGAAGACAAAAUUUCUCCUCAAAAACUGAAACGUCAUUAACAAGUCGUUUCGGGUUUCGUCUAGUGAGCAAGAUAAAAUGCCCAAAGAAAUUCUCUUUUGAAGGAAAGGAAAGGAAUUCCAUCAUAUUAGACGAAAGAUCCAGUUGAUCCAAGCAGUCGAGGACUAUCAGACAUGGGUCAUGUAUAGUGCUAAUUUUUUUCAGGAUAUUUGGCAAAGUUAAAUCAAAUGAAUUAAGUAAUGCACCAAUCUUUACUGCGACGGCGUUCACUGUUUUGCUAAGAUGCGCAUCAUCUUCAGAUGAGAACCAAUAAACACCUCCCUUGUAGAAACCCUUCAUCUGAUGAGCAUACUCGGAAACUAAGCUUGUUUUCCCAAUUCCACCCAAACCACAUACUGCUGCAACGCGAACUUUCUUUUCGUUCAACGUUUCCU
rnacentral:lncRNA from 1 species